GGCACGACAUUGUCUGAGAUCGAGCGAGACGACUGCGAUCUAGA
rnacentral:rRNA from 1 species